UUUGUAGCUCAGCUGGAUAGAGCACCAGCUUCCGAAGCUGGGUGUCGCAGGUUCGAAUCCUGUCAGAC
rnacentral:tRNA from 1 species